UUAAGCCAUGCAAGUGGUUAUAUCAACCCGACAGUUUAAAUAAGUGUUAAAUUGCUACACAUUAUAAACGCAACAUUAUUCAUCUACAUACAGUGAAUACUUUUUACACAGUAUCACUUACGCAACUGCAGACAGCUGCUUAAUACAGUCACACUUGUCUUGACUUGGCUAUUAAAUAUUAUGCUAUAGCAUAAACUGAACUCACGCAGUAUAAUCGUAUGCUACAACUACACACAAAAAAAUGACAUACGCGUUCUGUGGAAGGUUAGUGACCUGCAUAGUAAAUAUUAAAAUUAAAAUUGUUUACAAGCUACGUACAGUAUCUACGCAGUUGAUACCACACAACAACUCACUGCAUUUUACGAUCUGUGCAAGCUGUUUUACAAUGAUUUCUCUGUAUCGCGUUAUACUUACAAGAACAUGCGUUACACCGUGACAAAUUUCUUUAUGGAUAACUCAGGGAAAGUUUGGCUAAUACGUACGAGUAUUUUUAAAACACACUGUAAUUGUGUAACAUAAUUAUCUCUCUACAGGCGAGUGCAUAACAGCGCUUAACGGCAGAAUGAAUUAUUAUUCAGCACUUUCUACAACAACAUACUACUCAGCACUCAAUGGUAAGCUUUGGUUUUUUACGUUCGCGUAAUUACCAGUUUAAAGUUUAACUGCAACAUGAGAGACAUUGAGCACGCACGUGGUGGGGUAAUUUAUUCGUUUCGCCACAUCUACGCUGAGCAGACUUUGCGAAGUUUACUUUGCGAAGCAUGUCAUACAAGCAUCUACAGCAUCAAGUCACAGGGUUGGCAAGUGUAUUUUUGAACCUUCAAAGCAGUCACGCAUACGGAAGAGUAGUUUCUGAUCCCAUAGAAGGAGCACCGUACAAUGAGAGACCGCUCUUAGUUCUAAGGAACGCAGCAGGCGCGUAAAUUGCCCAAUGCUAGUACCCUACAAAUUACAUAGUAUUAAUACAACAAUUUACAAUAAAACAAGUUUAUAAAACACGCACAUUAUAACACAUUAUUUCAUUCUGUCCUACAGAAUAUCAUACAUAUCCUUGUUCGUUGUAACUCACGUAAUUUAUUUUACUGAGGCAGUGACAAGCUGUAACGGUUGAGUAUAAAAAUGACGAGUGUCUGGCAUUGCCGCUCUUUCGGGAGCUUGGCAAGUUGCCGACGCUUUGUGUGCUCAAUUGGAAUGCNNNNNNNNNNNNNNNNNNNNNNNNNNNNNNNNNNNNNNNNNNNNNNNNNNNNNNNNNNNNNNNNNNNNNNNNNNNNNNNNNNNNNNNNNNNNNNNNNNCCGCGGUAAUACCAGCUCCACUGGCCUAUACAAUCAUUGUUGCGGUUAAGAGGCUCGUAGUUGGAUUGAACUACAAUACAUAGAAUAAUAAUAAAUUCUAUAAGCUAGUUUCGUACAAAAAGUAGCAAUAUAUUUGCAGUACUUACUGUUACAGACACUACAUCACACACGAAACAACACUGUGUCUUUCGUAGCUGCAAGCCUGUAAAUAGCUAUUUUUUUACGUUUCGACGCACCGUACUAAAUUAAUAUUAUUUUAUUCAUAUAGCUUACGGCAACCUUGUAAAUAAUUACACACAACCAAAUCCAUUAUUUACGCGGCAGAAUUAUACUCGAAUUUUUUAUUCUCCUUUCAACACUGUGAACAAAUCAGAGUGUAUCAAACAUGUCGUUUUUGAAUGUGCAUUGAAUGUCUUAUCAUGGGAUGUUGCCUUAAUUCAAACGCGUUAGAAAUAUUUAGCUGUACGACAGACAUCACACACAAACCUUACAAUCACUCUGCGUACUGUUAAUAUUAUCUAACACAGUGCCAGUGACACAUGAAUAAUAUUUUAUAUUUCUAACGGUUAAAAAUGUCGAUGGGGAUAGUUGGAGUCAACAGUACUGCUGGGCGAGAGGUGAAAUUCAUUGACCCUAGCAAGACUACCAAAAGCGAAAGCAGUUGGCUAGGCUAUACUCUUUGUGAUUAACUAUUCGUUUGCAGACUCUAUGCGAAGCUUUUUAAACGCUGCUAUACACACAAACAUUUUCAGCACGUACUAUAGCUAUUAACAUACGAGUCAAACUCGCGAAUACUUAUAUAACACUUUACAAUGAAGAACGAAGGUUGGGGGAUCAAAGAGGAUCAGAUACCCUCGUCGUCCCAUUAAUUACAUCAAACGAUGGGCUCUCAAUUGCAUUUUACAUUAAAUUGCAAAUUUCCUCAGCCUACAAAAUUACUCUGGCUUGAGCUCGUAUUUCGAUACGCUCGCCUAAUCAAUUUUCGUACGGUCUCUGAUGGACGUUUCGUUUAAAAAUAUUUUUUGCGUGUAAGCAUUGUAUUUUAUCUUUGAAACAUAAGAUUAUACUGCGUGCACUUGAUUUUCGGAGCUUUGCGCUCAAUUCUGGUGAGAUGUAAGCAUCAUGUCAUUGCUACCCGCAGUGUAUAUCUUCGGGUAUUUCAUCUGUCGUGCGUAGCUGACACUUUUUCGAUGUGAAGCACGCUUUAGGCACGCGCUUACUGCAGAAAUGUCUGAGACAUUCCCCUCCGGGGGUAGUAUGCACGCAAGUGUGAAACUUGAAGGAAUUGACGGAAGGGCACCACAAGAACGCGUGGAGCAUGUGGCUUAAUUUGACUCAACGCGGGAAAUCUUACCGGGUCCGGACACACUGAGGAUUGACAGGCAAUAUCAUAAUUUAUAGUUUAUUUACUUCGGUACUUAUUCUAAUAUUAUGUGUUAAAUAUGCUAGUCCUUUCAUGAUUAUGUGAUAGGUGGUGCAUGGCCGUUCUUAGUUCGUGGAGUGAUCUGUCUGCUUAAUUGCGUUUCACUAAGGGUCCAUAAAUUUAUGUAUGUUGCGACGCAUUGACCCCUCAUUUAAUUAUGAGCGCUGCGUCUUUGUCGUUUAGCUCAUGCGAUUGGAUCCUGAAAGCAACGAACGUGACCGCAACCUCUUGUUGCCUUUAUACCAAACACUUUUAUAUGCUGCGUACAGUUAAUCCUGUAUGUAUUGUACUGUAAUUGUGCAAAAAGGCUUUUUAAACUAGAGGGACCGCUGUUACUUUCUUAAACCAGAGGAAGGUUGCGGCAAUAACAGGUCUGUGAUGCCCUUAGAUGUUCCGGGCUGCACACGUGCUACAAUGAUUAUUGCAGUGAGCAUCUCAUAUUCAUACAUCGCAUGCGCGAGUCCAUUUAUUCUGUGCUUUCGGGCACUGUUUUAAAUGUGUAUCUCUGCGCGCGAUAAAGCCUACUUCGAAAGUAAGUGGGUAAUCAAUUAGAAGUAAUGAUUUCCUUAAUUUAUAGCACACAUAUAUACGGCAGCUUUACCCAGCCAGCCUUGUUGCUGGAUCUUGUGUGUAUUGCUGCUUUUUCCGUAUGUGCAAUUGUCAAUUCAUGGUGGGGGCAGACCAUUGUUAAUUGUUGGUCUCGGUCUUAACUAGGAAUGCCUUGUACGGGUCUUUGGUUCAACAAACCACCCGGAAUACGUCCCUGCCCUUUGUACACACCGCCCGUCGCUCUUACCGAUGGACUUCUCUGUGAGUUUCAGGGACUGGAGUUAUUUUCAACCCUAUGGAAACUGAAACGAACAGUGUGGUCUAAAGGAAAGAGAAGUCGUAACAAGGCAUCCAGUAGGUGAACCU
rnacentral:rRNA from 1 species